rnacentral:rRNA from 1 species
GAUGAACGCUGGCGGCGUGCCUAAUACAUGCAAGUCGAGCGAACGGACGAGAAGCUUGCUUCUCUGAUGUUAGCGGCGGACGUGUGAGUAACACGUGGAUAACCUACCUUUAAGACUGGGAUAACUUCGUGAAACCGGAGCUAAUACCGGAUAAUAUUUUGAACCGCAUGGUUCAAAAGUGAAAGGCGGUCUUGCUGUCACUUAUAGAUGUAUCCGCGCUGCAUUAGCUAGUUGGUAAGGUAACGGCUUACCAAGGCAACGAUGCAUAGCCGACCUGAGAGGGUGAACGGCCACACUGGAACUGAGACACGGUCCAGACUCCUACGGGAGGCAGAAGUAGGGAAUCUUCCGCAAUGGGCGAAAGCCUGACGGAGCAACGCAGCGUGAGUGAUGAAGGUCUUCGGAUCGUAAAACUCUGUUAUUAGGGAAGAACAUAUGUGUAAGUAACUGUGCACAUCUUGACGGUACCUAAUCAGAAAGCCACGGCUAACUACGUG